ACAUGGCGGCAGACUAGACGCACAGGUCAAGGAUUUUUUAAGGAUUCAGGCAAAUUUGAGGUUUUCUGCACACUAGAAAUCAUCGUCGAAUGGAUCUGUAAGAUUCCGUUGGCAUUAUAUUAGCGAGAGCCAGUAGUAGAGGACAGAGUCUAUUAUUUCGUUAUCCAUAUUUACCGCCUUCCCGGACUGAAGGGAGAGAAAAAGAAAUCCCCAAGAAUCGUUUCGCCUUGGGUAAAUUUGUCUCUUCUAUUUGCUUAUUAUCAUAUGGGGGAUUGAACACAGGGUUCAUAUGGGUCCUGGAAAACCUGCAAAGUCCUGGAAUUCUGCUUUGACAUUUUCCAAGUCUGGAAAGUCCUGGAAAAAGACUACAGGUCCCAGAAAAUCCUGGAAAUCUGCUUAACUCAAGCAAUAAAGUUUUCAGAAUGUACAUUAAAAGAAGUGAUUGUAAGACUCUAGGGAGAAUUGAUUUUGAAAUUGUGGGAGUGAGAGGGUGUAAGGUGAAAUUUGGAGUCCUGGAAAAUCCAUCUGAGUCUUAAAAAAGUCCUGAAAAAGUGCGUAAAAUUUCUUUCUUAAAAAGGGUAUGAACCCUGUGAACACCAUGCAGAAGGGUGGAUAAGAUUUAAAUAUCAUGCUCUUAAUUUUUUGUUUCCUUCAUAAUGGUAAAUUUUCAAAGUCCUUUUAAUUUUAAGCCUAUGAAAUUGGCAUGGCUAUGCAAAAUACCCAAUAAGUAGCAUAUGUUAAAUUAUCAUUACCACAUCUGACUGUGCUAAGAUGAUUCUAAGGUUUGGUAAACUGCCAAAAAACUGCAUAGGAAUUUUGUAUCUAUUGGAAUUCUAUCAUCGUAUGCAUUACCUACAUUUCAGAAAUUUUUCUGGAAUCAAAGAUGGUUAUCUCAUUGGGUGAGUUCAAUAUGAUUUUAAAUAAUUUGAGAUCAUUGAGAUAAAACUGAUUUUAGUUACCAUUACAAGUACAGAAAGGGAUACAGGUGUAAUGGUCUAAUUUUGCACCCUUCGGUAUUUUUCUUAUGGCUAAUUUAGAGGACAUUUACCAGUUGAAUAAAUUUUCUGAAGUUUGCAAGUCAACUGUUUCACAGUAUUGUGGAUAACCUUGUCAUUAUCAUUGUCACAUUUACCCCCAUUGUCCACUGAGCUUAACAUGAAAAGAUGAUAACCUCCCUAUGUAUUAAAUGAAGAAUUGAAAUCCUGUCUUCUAAUUACUCAAAGGCUCUUAACUCCCAACCAACAUUUACAUGAUUAAUGGCUAGUCCCUUUUAUACAAAGUGUUCAUGUUAGUUGUCGUGGUUAUGAAAUCAUUUUUCGUUUCCCAAGGAAUCAUUCUUGUACUUACUGCACUGGCCAUGGUGUAAUGUGUAAUGUAAAGAAGCUGAACUUCAUCUGAUUUUGGAGUAUAAAUCAAAAUUAAUGGCAAUAAAAGUCUACUUUAUAACAUG